UACGUAGGGAGCAAGCGUUGUCCGGAAUCAUUGGACGUAAAGCGCGCGUAGGUGGCCUCAUAAGUCCGCUGUGAAAGUCAAAGGCUCAACCUUUGAAAGCCGGUGGAUACUGUGAGGCUAGAGUACGGAAGAGGCGAGUGGAAUUCCUGGUGUAGCGGUGGAAUGCGCAGAUAUCAGGAGGAACACCAAUAGCGAAGGCAGCUCGCUGGGACGUUACUGACACUGAGGCGCGAAAGCGUGGGGAGCGAACAGG
rnacentral:rRNA from 1 species